rnacentral:lncRNA from 1 species
GCCUUUUUAGCAGCUGGUUUCUCAUCCUCAGACUCAUCUUCCGAUGAAUCAUCAUCGUCAGAAGAUGAAGAAUCUUUAGCUUUAGCAGCUGGCUUCUUAGCAGCAACAGGUUUCUUUGUAGCAGGUUCCUGUUAGCCCAUCACCAAACACGCAAAUAAGUUACAUAGUUCAGAAACAUAAAGAGGAAAACAGUAAAAGAUACUUAUGAGGAGGUGCUUACUUCAUCAGAAGAUUCCUCAUCGUAAGAGUCUUCUUCUUCAGAAGAGCUCUCUGACUUGGCCUUCACAGAGCCGUUUUUAGCAGCUGCAGCAGGUUUCUUGGUAACAGCAACUUCUUCCUGAAAUAGAUGAUAAAGGCCAAGUAUGUUAGCAAUAGUCCAAAGAGAGCAGGCUAAAAACUCGCAUAGUAAUCAAAAACUAACAUCAUCUGAAGAUUCUUUCUCAGAAGAUGAGUCAUCUUUUGUUUUCUUUGCAACCUUUCCGUUAGUGGCCUUCUUGGCUACCUCAGGUUCCUUCAAAGACAAAACAUUGAAGGUUUUAGAAAGACGCUACACAAAGUACAAAACUGAAGCACACAGUAACAAAAACCCACAAAACUCUUACAUCAUCUGAAGAAGAGUCGUCAGAGGACUCCUCGCUGCUUGAAUCAGCCUUAGCUGGAGCCUUCUUAGCAGGAACUUUCUUAGCCUAACAUGAACAAUACAAUACUAUGAGACAAACAUCAAACAUAGAUUAAUCUACAAUUACUAAAACAGUGAGUAUUGUGGGAACCGAAAUUCACACUGUCGAUUUCUGUUUAAAUAAGGAAACUAGGAAAACCCUAAUUUCCCAGAGGACCCGGAUAUCUGUUAAUUACCACACGUCAAGCAAUCAGAACACGAGAAUAACAAUGAUAAAAAUAAGAAAUCGAAAUAAGAGCAAAGUAGAUCUUAUUCCGAAUCUGCGUAUGAGCGUUACAACAAGGUAUAAGCCUGGGCUCGAGAGCUGUCGGCGAUAUUCCUAGUUCUAGCAACCCUAAGACGGCUAAACCUAAUUGAGUCGCAGCUCGAAAUAACAAAAACGGAAAAUUGCCUAAAUUGCUCUAAGUGCUAAGUUUGCUCUGAAAAAGUCCUCCCUUCUUGCUCCUCGCCUAGGACUCCUUAUAUACUAGCUCCAAGGUCGGUUUACGCUUUUACUCUUCUGCCCUUAAGCCGUCAUAGCAUAAAAAUGGAGAUAUUCAAUUUUGAUUAUUUUUAUUUGAUCGAGCUAAAUUUAAUUUUGUCCAAGUUCUGGUUUGGGUUUGAUUAGAAACAUGGUUCGGCCUAGUCUAUAUAUCCAUCCUAGUGAUCAUUUUGAACAUUUUGUGGUGUGUUUUCAGCAAUCCAAAUCUGCUGAUAAGUACAUAGGACUAUACACUGAUUCAAUCCCAAAUGUAAAGGUUUUCUACAUGUCAUCGGUUACUCGGUAGUAUAACCCAUUUAUCAGUUUUCCUCUGAAAUCUUUCCAGUUCCCUCCUUCCAGUAAAUCUUGUUUCAGUACAAUAAAAAAAUGUUUAUUUUGUGUAAUUACUUUCUUCAAGGAUGAACUUUUUUGGGCUGCGGCUUGGCUACGCCGGGGAUGAGUACCACUUGAAAUAGGUUGAAACAAUGCCGGUUACAUGGGUGAAACUGGAUGGAGAAUGGAAGAAUUCUCUUUGGAUAACAUAUAACAGAUAAGCCGGUGUUCAAGUCCUUGUCACCAAGGUAAAUAACCUGGUUUCUUCAAUAAUGUUAUUUCUGAAGUUUCAAGAAUACUAAUCUUGACUCUUGUUUGAUUUGUGUGUGUGUGCUUAUAUAUUGUUAGAAGUUAAAGAAGGUGGAUAUACUUCUUGUGCUUGUCUAAAAGAAAAUGAUGGCUACAACAUUCAAACAACUGGUAAGUUAAUUUAGUAUAAAAUUCGGUGAAUAUUGAAUGUUUUUUUGUUUAGUGGAGGAAAAUUCAGGUGGUUUGAUGUAUGUUAUAAAUUAUCUCUCUGCAGCACAUGCUAAACUCAAUUUUCAUCAUGGUUCGGUUCAACCUCAAGCACUUUUAGACAUUGCUAGAUCUCAGGUAAUCAAAUCUUUGAGGAACACAAAACCAUUUUUUCUUGCUGCUUUAAUGCAUUAACCACAGGUUCUUUCACCUUGCAGAUGUACUGAUUACAUUCUUUGAAAAACUGUCAAGGAAUGAAUUGCCAAGUUGGAUAUGGACCAAAAUAUCCAAUCAGAGUCCACCAUACAGGCCCGUCAUUCCCUUCAAUCUUUGUUCAACGUUCUUCUGUGAACUGUGUUGGUUUAGAAUGUCUCACGCUGAUAUGUUAUCCACGGUGCUCUUGUUGAUGGACCAGAUCAGAAUGAUUACUAUUCAGAUGAAGGACAAACCACGAGCAAAUCAGAACCAACUUUUGUCUGGAACAGCUUCACUUGUUGGUCUAUUCGCUAAACUCUCGGGAAGAUUAGGUAACUAAACAAUAAACUGUGUGCUCUUACUCAUGUUCCGUGAAUCAUAUGUAAUGACGGAGGAGGAUCUUCUAAACCAUACCAAACAACAGAACCCACCAGGUUGUUAAUCUUCUUACUUGCUUGCUCUAUACAACUUCUUGCCUCUUCGGGCAUUUCUGAUUCUCAUUUUCUCUGAAAAUCUUCACAGUUUCUGUCUUACAAAACAACACCAACAUCAUACUCCAAAGCAAUGCACCAAUCGAACAGUUCAUUCAAUAACUGCUGAUUGGAUGGCCGGGAACUCUAGGUACUACUACAUACCCUAAGUGCUCAUCAAGAACAAUUCUCAGAGGGACCGGACCUCAAGCUUCAGACCGAAGAUCUCUGACCUAUAGGCUUAAUAGGGCAAAAGAAUGCAUACCACCUUCCUCAGGGGCAAAUGAAAUCUGACAAUCUGCCCCUCUAUGGGUAUCAGUUAUAAGUUACUACUAAUCCUCUUUGUUAACAUCCGGUUUUAAAGUCGUUUAUCAUUUGAGUGAUAGGAAUUCGAAGCUCAAGGAAGACAACAAUUCAACACAAAAAGCACUCAAAAUUGAGUUUUAAUUUAAAUUCAGACAAUAAUAUAAGGAUUCAGACACAACUGGACUAGCAAAGAAAAAAAAAAGCUGAAAUAAUAAUAAGAUGAGUAAGCAUCACAAGGCUAAAAGACUUGAGCACACAGGAAACUCUUCCCCAUAAGCUUUUAAUCGUCAAAGGUAGUCUUCUUGUUGACUGCCAAAAUAAACCAAGAACAUGUGAGAAGCUGGAUUACUUAACUAUCAAGAUUCAAGACAACAUCUAUUAACAAACUAACGUACCUGAGGAAGUGAAACUAGGUCUGCUGAAUCCACGGCCACCACCAUUGUCUCUUCCUCUACCAAAACGACCACCGCCAUUUCUACCACGCCCACUGUCUCUUCCUCUACCACUACAAAAACGACCACCUCCGCCACCACUAAAACGACCACCGCCGCCACCACCACCACUGCUGUCCCUCGGUUUAGCCUCAUCGACAACAAUAUUCCAUCCUCCCAACUCAGUACCAUUAAGGUCAUACGCCUUCUCUGCGCCUUCCUUAAAGUCAAUGUAAGCAAUUCUGCAUUUUAAAACAAUUGUUUUAGUUAACCAUCUGAGAGAAAAUAAUACACAAAGUGGAGGGAAGAAGAAGUCACACACCCUCUGGAAGCACCAGUUUCACGGUCCAUGGGAAGAGAGACCCUUGUGAUCUCUCCACAUGAAGCAAAGUGUUGAGUCAAUGCCUGCCUGAUAUCUUCCUCAGGAAGGGACGAGUCGAAUCCCUUGACGAAUAUUUUUUGACCUUCACCACCACCGCUUCUGAAGUUACCACCACCGCUUUGUGGAGUGUUGUAUGCGGGUCUGUCUCCCCUCUCCGCAGCCAAAUCAAGACGAAUGUCACGACCAAGUAAGGCUCUACCGUGAAGUUCCAAUGCCUGAGGUACAAAUGAUUUUAGUCAGCAAGCAAAUUUCAAAAUAAAUACUUAAAAGUACAAAACUAGCACUCACCUUCUGUGCAUCUUCAGAAGUAGCAAACUCAACAUGGCCAAAUCCUCUGAAACUGCCAUCAUCCUUGUUGGUAGCAAAUCUAACAUCAACAACUUCGCCAGCUUCUUUAAAGAAAUUUUCACUGUAUUUGGAGGAUAGACUAUCAUUAGAUCACGGCAAAAAACUGAACUUGUCCAAAGAGAGAGAUACUUACACGUCUGAUCUUUCGAUCUGGAAUGAGAGAUUACCAGCAAAGAGCGUCUUGGGUCCUCCUGUAGCAGGAGUUGCUGGUGUCUUAGGCUGAAAGACAAAAGGAUGAAAUACAAAUUAACUUCAAAGAAUGAUCCAUAAACGAAAUUAGAGAAACUUGGGGGAUUCCUUACCUGUUUCUCCUCAGCAUCCACCAUUUCUACAUCAGCGUUCUGUUUUAGUAAAAAACAUUAGAUCAGCAAACGGCAAGUUAUAAAAAAUUUAUGCAAUAGAAACUCAACUUUGAUAUUUUGGAAUCAUAAUGAAACAUCUCACACACCUUUUUCUUUGGGGUUUCUUCCUCAUCUUCACUCUCUGAUUCGUCAGAUUCAGAUUCAUCACUACUGCUAUCCUUUUUAGCUGCCUUGGUGGUAGCCUUUUUAGGUGCAGGCUUUUCAUCUUCACUUUCCUGGAAUGACAAAAAAUCAAACAAAUCAACAACGAUUCAAAUUACAGGACAUCAGAAGCUGCUUAUUGAUCAAGUUAAGUAGAGAAUCUACCUCAUCAGAUGAUUCUGAACUGCUUGCAGCCUUGGUAGCAGGAGCUGCCUUUUUAGCAGCUGGUUUCUCAUCCUCAGACUCAUCUUCCGAUGAAUCAUCAUCGUCAGAAGAUGAAGAAUCUUUAGCUUUAGCAGCUGGCUUCUUAGCAGCAACAGGUUUCUUUGUAGCAG